rnacentral:rRNA from 1 species
UACGUAGGGGGCGAGCGUUGUCCGGAUUCAUUGGGCGUAAAGCGCUUUAAGGCGGUUCGGUAAGUCGGGUGUGAAACCUCCAGGCUCAACCUGGAGACGCCACUCGAUACUGCUGUGACUAGAGUCCGGUAGGGGACCACGGAAUUCCUGGUGUAGCGGUGAAAUGCGCAGAUAUCAGGAGGAACACCGGUGGCGAAGGCGGUGGUCUGGGCCGGCACUGACGCUGUAGAGCGAAAGCGUGGGGAGCGAACAGG